UGGAACUACUUCUCGUUUUGCAGGAAAUGGUCCAUUUUCAGUCUCUAUUUCCUGGACUAUUAUGCAUUAUUCGCGCUUUAUGAAACCACACAAUAAGAUGUUAGUGUCUGUCCAUCUACUGAUGCGUCUCAACACCAAAUAUUACACAUCUCUAUGCCGUUGGUACAUAAAAACAAAAACAAUAAAGGUAUUAAACGAAUUACGAUGGGGUUCGCCGAAAGUUAUUCUGCGCUUUUCAAGCCUCCACCGAGAAACUGGUAAUACCUACUCCUCUUUUGUGAAUACCUACUCCUAGUCUUUUCUUGAUUUGAAAUUUUGCGCCCCCAACGGAUACGUUCCGUACAGACCUACUGCUGUCCCUAUAUGAGUACCCCUUCUCGAUUUCGGACGUCUCAAAAGUAUGUAGUGGAAAGUUUGAACUACAUCGUCUACAUCAACAAGUAGUCUCAUUCAUACGUUUCAUUUCAUUUUACCUUGUAAAAGGAGCCCAUUCUAUUCCGACACUCUCUUCUCUUGACCUCUUCUCGCACCUGAAGUUGUAACUCAAACAACAAAUGCGCCUCUUCCUGGCAUUCCAGUUUCUCAUUGUGGGUAUUCCGACCUUUCGUUCUCCAGAUAUUUGCAAGCGCACCACUGCUAAGUAGCACAUUUUUCUCUUUAUUAAAAAUGAAGACUGAACUAUUACUAUAACUAUUAGCACGAAUUAUUUGAAUGCGAAUUAUGCAGAUGCCAAUUUUUCGAGUGCGGGAAUCUACUAAACCUACAAGCACAGAUAAAAUACCCAAUGGUAUUUUAUCUGUGCUACAAGGAAAAUGUGAACUCUUCUGAUGACAUACUUUGCGGGUUCGAUGCGUCCAGAAAUCGAAAUGUUAGGGUAGCGGAAAGCCUUUGCGAAUUACCCUGGCACAAACUAUCACAGUGCGAAUUAUCUGGGAGUGAAUUUUGAUGCAAAUUUCCCUUGUUGCGAAUUUUCUGCGCGCGAGAGCAAAUUUUACCGGGCAAAUUUUUCGAGUGCGAAUUGUCCGGGUACAAAUUUUCUGGUUGCGAAAUGCCCUGAUGCGAUUUAUCUUUGGUCCGAAUCCUAGGUUGUGAAGUAUCCGAGCGUUAGAUGUCUGGGUGCGAAUUGUUUGAGUAAGAACGAUAGUGCAGAAUCCAUUUUUAGUUCUUCGUCAUUAAAACCAAUCAUUUGACCUAUUGCCGAAGAAAUUGGCUUGUAAAUAAGUUGACUAUGAGGAGGCAUCCAACCAAAAUACAGUGGUAGACGUAGACUACUAGACAUUACUAAAUGCAAUUUUCAGCUAAUGUUAAAUUAACAAUGCAUUGUGUUAAUGACUAAUCGGUCUUUCUUGUAGUUUUAAUAUAGGUAGGUACAAAGAACGUAUGUAGGUAGUACAUACACUACCUAUAGGGUAAGGGGCCUCGUCUCAUAAUUAUGAGAAGAAAUAUACGACGCUAGAUUUUAACUUCUUCAGGUCAAGUACAUUUGUGAUUGUGGUGGUCAAGUCAGUAAAGAGUGAUAUUAAAAUCUCUAAAACCGGGUGGUUAAUAUACAAAGAAAGAUCAGCGCAAAACUACACUAGGUCAAGAGAGCGCGUUUUUCUUCACAAAAAAAUUAAAGUGGUAGUGGUCUUUAUCUUCUGAGGUUGGCAUACUAUUCCUGGAAAGAUGUAUUAAUUAAUAUUUACAAGCAGGGGUUGUUGACAAAAUUUCAGUGGGGUUGUAGAAUACGAAGCCACCAAAUUCACUUAAAAUCCUGGUGUCAAAUUCUUGACAGAACAUCUUCCAAGCUCAAACCAGUUAAAAAAAAACGUUUUUGCCAGUCUUAUAUGCCUAAUAUACACUGCCAAAAUUAUAACGAAAUCAAAAUAACUGUUUUGCCGAAAAAAAUAUUUUGGUUUUUUAACUUUCUCCGUUUUUUUGUAAUGAAACCUAGCACAUACGUACAGACGGAACAUGUGUCCAAAAAGAAACAGUGAACGCAAUAGCCACUUAUGUAGCUCAGGCUGGGAAGCUAAAAAUAAUAGUGCUAGGUAGAAUUAUCGUUCAUAUUAUUACAGGGUUGACUUAGCUUUUAAAGUUAGAGCAGGUUGCAAAGUUUUAUAGGUUCUUUAGGAGGUUCUUAUUCAAUACGUUACCUUAUGCCACAUUCUCAUGUUGAAUUUAUAAUGAAAAUACACGAUUUCAAAAUUAGAAGUGCACGUUGCCAAGUAUACAGGGUGGGCCGUUAGUGUGUGUGCGGAAGAUUGUGGGUUUACUAACGCCCAUAUUUAAAAUUGAUUGUCGGAGCAUGUUGAAGGACCCACCUAAAAAUAUUUUGAACGAAAUUGCAAUUGUUAUACAGGGGGUGAUUUAUAUCAAAGUUGCAUUUUUUUAAAUGGAACUCCCUGUAUCCGUCACUUCUUUUGUGUUAGAACUUUAAAAGAAAUCACUCCGUCAAUUUUCAAAAUUUCAAUCAAAGGUAACUUGAUUUUUUUAAAUAGAACUACCAGGUUUUUUUAUCGCACGAAAUGUAGGAUUUUAUUACCUUUUUAAUAAUAUAAGCAUGUUGAUAUUUAUCUUUUGCAUAUGUUUUGUAAUUCAACAAUUUCUAAUAAUUUACAGAUUUUCGAUUUUCAAAGCCUUUCAGUAAUGAGUAGGCCCUUAAAAAGUAAAAACAAUUGAAAUUAUAACAAAUGUUCUCCAAAUAAUACAAAACAAAAACCAUAAGAAUAAGAGGAGAAUAAGAACUAUUUCAAUAGAUAUUCAAGAACAAACAUUUGUCAAUGAGUUUAGAAAAUCAUUCUUUGACACGACGAAGCGCAGCUGGCGUUAUGGAUGCGAAAGCACUACGAAUGCCCAUUAUCAUAUUCUCUUUUUUUCUUGUGCCUUCUUUGCAUACAGUUCCUUCCACGUAUCCUCAUAAGAAGGCAAGUGGUGUAAGGUCUGGAGAACGCGCUGGUCAAUUUAUAGUAGUUCCAUUAAAAAAAAUCAAGUUAUCUUUGAUUGAAGUUUUGAAAAUUGACGGAGUGAUCUCUUUUAACACAAAAGAAGUUUAACUUUAGCCGUUCGGCGUAUGUUAGUACAUUUCAUGAUUAGUAUAACACUACAGGGUCACGGCCUUCUAAGUUUUAGGACAACUGCGAUAUUCAAUUUUUACUGGACUUCUACUUUAUGAAAAAGUGACGGAUUGCGACUAAACCACUAAUUUUAGAUCUCAUGUUGUAAUACAUAAAGUCACACUAAAAUUUACCAAGCAAUCUAAAUAUGUAAUAAUAUACAGGGGGUUUCAUUUAUCAACAUGCAACAUUGAUAUAAAUCACACUGAAUAACAAUUGAAAUUUCGUUGGAAAUAUUUUGAGAUUGUAACCUUAAGGGUCCUUCGACAUUACCCGACAAUGAAUUUUAAUAUGCGCGUUGAUAAAUCCACAAUCUCCAACCCACACAAUAAUGGCUCACCCUGUAUUUCACUAGUCUUUAAUUUCUUUUGUUAAUAAGUAGAAAACUGGAAUUUUAUCCAUACUUACCAAUUUUCCAUCGCUAUCUAUUUUUGCCCAUGGUACAAUGAGACAAGGUAUGCAUAUGCGCAUGUGUUAAUAGCUGCUGUAUAUAGGACAGCUGACGCGUCGGCCGUUUUAGAACCCACUGAUAAUUGAGGCUUGCAAAACGUUCCAUGACCUGUAUUUUUUUAACAUUUAUUAAUGCAUAAACAUAAGACCGUACAACUUUGUUAUACCUUGUGCGUGUCUGACCGGUUUAGGACAUUAGGGCGCCGCCGAAAGGUGUUUAGAGCCAAACUUUUUGCAUGGGUCCGAGCUAACUCCCAAGAAAAUAGGUGGCUCUGUUGCACUUAUCAUAGUGUGUGACAAACAGGUACAUAUACAAAUUCCUAUACAAGGUGAUUCAAAUUCGAGGGCCACUAUGGGGAUUUCGAGAACUGUAAGAGAUAGUUUUCAAACUUAAAAAAUUCCGACUACUUUCGGAGAUAUCUGGAAAAAUCCGAAACUUGGCAAAAUCGUUUUUAGAUGCAGAUUUACUAAUAAUAGCAAUAUCUGUUAUAUACACGCCAUUUCCACCUUGCAAGAACCUGGGUUGUACUUUGGUGCCGGAAGUAACCAACAUCUCAGUGCACUUUCUUGCACACUCUCUCGGUCGAUCAAGAUCAGCAGCCCUUCCGAUGUUUCACGCGAUCACUGGCUGUGACCCCGUCUCCAAUUUCUACGGGCGUAGGAAGAAAACUUCUUUGAAGCUUGAAACCGGCGUCUUGGCGACGUAGUGAAGGCAUUUUCAUUCAUUAAUACUACAAAUGUUGAUGAUUUUCGUACUGAAUUUCAUAGCUUUACUCAAAAGUGCGAACUUUUUUCCUAAUCUCCCAGACUACAGGUGGUAACACUAUGAAAAGCGGCAAUACUACAACGCGUUAGAGCAAUUGAUCAUAAAUACCUUUAAUAUUUAUGUACCAGUAGUUUUAGAUGCGUUCGGCCACGGCUUUUAUUCAGAAUGGAAAUUAUUAACCCUCUAGGUGUUUUUUGCACGGACCGACUGUAGAAUUGUGGGGAGUGUUACCCUUACUCAGUAGGCGGAGCCUACUAUACUGGGGAUUAACGGCGGCUACCUAUAUAAGCACCAACCGACAGCACUAAGGGGAUCCAUCGAUCGAGCGUCUUGGAUCAACCCUAGGAGUAGGCAGA